rnacentral:rRNA from 1 species
AUUGAACGCUGGCGGCAUGCCUUACACAUGCAAGUCGAACGGCAGCACGGGUGCUUGCACCUGGUGGCGAGUGGCGAACGGGUGAGUAAUACAUCGGAACAUGUCCUGUAGUGGGGGAUAGCCCGGCGAAAGCCGGAUUAAUACCGCAUACGAUCCACGGAUGAAAGCGGGGGACCUUCGGGCCUCGCGCUAUAGGGUUGGCCGAUGGCUGAUUAGCUAGUUGGUGGGGUAAAGGCCUACCAAGGCGACGAUCAGUAGCUGGUCUGAGAGGACGACCAGCCAACACGGGACUUGGGAAACGGCCAGGCUCCUAAGGGAAGGCAGCGUGGGGGAAUUUUGAACAAGGGGGGAAGGCUGGACCCAGAAAGGCGGGGUUGGUGAAGAGGCCCUUCGGUUGGUAAACCCCUUUGUCCGGGAAGAAAUCCUUGACUCUAAUACAGUCGGGGGAUGACGGUACCGGAAGAAUAAGCACCGGCUAACUACGUG